rnacentral:lncRNA from 1 species
AAAGGGACUACACCCAAACCAGACAAAGCUGCAGGCAAACACAUGUAUGGCAUAAAGAAAGUACCUUCCUGCAUCCCCAGAAAGUGAGGAUGAAGAAACGAUCAAUGCUCACAUCAAGAUGCUUCAGAAUGAAUCCAGAAAAACAAGACAGGACAGCUUGAUGAUAGACAAUCUACUAACUUAUGCCCAUAGGCGCAAGGGUAUCAUCAACAGCAACUGGACUGAAUCCUACUUGAAGGAUAUGUACCCUUACCUUUUCCAUGAAGAUGAGAGUUUGAGAGACUGUCAGAGGACCCAACUAAGCAGAAGUUGGAAGCAGGACAUUUGAAUAUGCUGAUCCAUUACUAGAGAUAUGCAAGACUCCCAAGCAAGGUUUGGAGCUCAAAAACCUGAUCUUGGCUGCAGCAGCAGAAAAUGAAGACACCAGGAAAAUGAUCAAAUCAUGUGGAGCACUUCUGUUGAUUCCUACUAUUUUUUGGAGAGAAGGCAUUGCUUUGUCAGCAUAGCCAGGAAAAAAAACGGACCAAUCGCCAAAAUCAUCUACAAAAGUAAGCCCGACAGUGCAGGUCUGACUCUGAGCAGUGAUCAUGAAAAAUUCACGGAAAUUCUGCAAUCAUCCUAUAUUACAGCAGAGAAUGAAGUCAUCUGCGAGAAAACCACCUACCUCAUGUCAGCAGUCUCUCUGCUUAUGUCGGCCCAUUAUGUAUUCAACUGAUCAUACACCCCCAAGAUGGGUAACACCCUCACAUUCAUUCAGAAGAUUCUGAUGAACAUAGAUUCCACAUCUCAACCCUCAUCCAAGGUCGUAAGAAGCCUGUAUGACUUAAAUGCUGUCCGAAAUGCUGAUGCCAGUAGUUCUUCAGUUUAAUAGAAAUUAAUUACUUGGGUGAUGCUACUGCAACUCAGCUGAUCACACUUUCUCUACGUGCAAUCACCUUAGGUGUUGUAUCUGUCUUUUAUGUGCAAAAUAGAUUGAAAUAGAUACGACAGGUUGACCGUGAAUUUAGACAUCAAGUAUGUGCAUUAUUUCGCUUUGCUUCAGUACAAUUUCAGUGGCCCUUGAAUUGGAAAUCUUUUCAUAUCCCAAGAAUUACGUAUAAAUGCUUAAUGAAAUUUUUGUCACAGAUAAAAUAGGAUUUUGCACACACAAAAAGAAAAUAUAUUUGGACCCAAAAUUUUUAUAGAUCAGAUGGUCAACAAUUUUUUUUUUUGGGGGGGGGAAUUGAAGACUAAGCUAUUAAUAUUCUACUUUUUGAUUUUUGUACACAUUUUGUUACUGUACAUGUAAAUAAGUUUAACACCACAAAUUUGAAGAAUUACAACAUUUUAAAGGUUCUCUAUGGAAUUUUAGUUAGUUUGUAAGUUUCAAGCAACUUAGUAUUUAAUUCCAAGAAUUAUACAAAGGCACUUUUCAAGAUUAUGGCUUCCAACAUCAGUACAUGAUGGAAACAAUUCUCAAUGUUUACAUUUAUUGAGAGAUGGUAAGCACAUGCAACUGAUUUGAAACUAAUUUUAUAAAUUUGACAAAGCACUGCCAUUAAUUUUAAGCCAAUCUGCACACUUCCAAGCAUGUCAAAGGUAUUGCUUAAUAGCCCAAUCACCACAAUUAUCAUUGCCUUUAAAAAAAAAUUGCACAAAUAUAUUUAAAUAGAAAAGGUCAGUAUCUGCUUGAAGAUACAGCUGCUAUAGGAGGCAGAUUUUGCGGAAAAUACCAGGGCUUCACAGUGAGAGAAAUGGUAUUAAGAAUGGGGGAUUCUGCGAAGUGCUUUAAAAAUUAAUUGAGAAUCCAAAUUGCACAUUUUGAAAUUGUCUUUUGUACUAUUAGUAGUAAAAUGUUUUUGUGGGUUUUCCUACAGCAAAAAUUGACAUUUGGGGAAUUCCCGUGUCAUGCAUGGGGAUUCUUAAAUUUAAAUUGUGUUUGUACGUA